rnacentral:misc_RNA from 1 species
CACAGCAGAUGACGCUCGGAGAGGUCGGGUCGGAACCCACUGCCGGUAGUUAGCCGGUAUUCCCCUGCAGGGAAGCCGCGCCGUUCACGGCGCGGAGGAUGUCACUCGAAGUCC